GAAUCCGCCAAGGAGUGUGUAACAACUCACCUGCCGAAUGAAUUAGCCCUGAAAAUGGAUGGCGCUGAAGCGGGCAGCCGACACCGCGCCGUUCCGGCGAGACGAUGCCGGGAUGAGUAGGAGGGCGUGGCGGUCAGUGACGCAGGCGAGGGUGCAGACCCCGCUGAAACGGCCGCUAGUGCAGAUCUUGGUGGUAGUAGCAAAUAUUCAAGCGAGAUCCUUGAAGGGCGAAGCGGGGAAGGGUUCCACGCAAACAUUGAUUGGGCGUGGGUGAGUCGUUCCUAAGCCGAGUGGCAAUUGCUAAGUAGCGGCGAAAGGGAAGCGGGUUAAAAUUCCCGCACACGGAUAUGGAGGCGGCGACGCAAGCAGAGGCAAAUACGCUGGCGAGGGCGCUGGGCAGAGUUUUCUUUUCUGUUUGACCGGCAUCGCGCUGUGUGGAAUCCGCUUAUCGGGAGAAACACGCGCGGGGAGGGGCAGAGCGUCAGGUCUUUUCUGGCGUCCGGCUCGCCCUCGACGGCCCUUGAAAAUUUGCCCGCGAACACUAAAUUUCAUGCUGUGACGUACCGAUAACCGCAUCAGGUCCCCAAGGUGAACAGCCUCUGCUCAAUAUGAACAAUGCAGGUAAGGGAAGUCGGCA
rnacentral:rRNA from 1 species